CCAUGUAGGAGCAGCCUGCAAUGUUCUGCCAUGCUGGGAGAAAGAAUUUUACAUGUAUACUGAUCUCCAGUUAUCAACCACUUCAAACUAUGGAGAAGAAAUGAUGAGAGGGAGCAGUGAUAAAUACAAGAUGUGCCCCAAGUGCCUUGACACUGCUGAACUGCCAAGCUGCAGGACCUCGCCAAUUACACGGCUGCUUUUCCAUGGCAGACCUGUGUGUUAAUUCACAGGUAAGAAAACUGUCAGCACAGCUUGGCCUGCAGCACGGACGCCAGGGCUGCUACUCUGAGAGAGAGCUGCCCCCCAAGAGCGAGCAUCAUGCUUGUAGGUUUUUCUGAGUGGCACCCCAUGGCAUGUCCAGUGAGCUCAUGGGUUAAAUCCUGAGGAUGGGACAGGGACAUUGAAAAGACAGAGGACUGACAGAUGCCGUUGUGGAGGGAGUCAGGAAAUGAAGAAUAAUGUUGAGCUGUGGAUGUCUGACCUUCUUGGAUGUCUGACAUCCUUGACAUACUCCUUGCUUUUGGACCUUGGCAGCAGCACAAAUUCCAUUGUAAUUGUAAUGCUGUAGAAACAAGUGAGAAAGAGAGGAAAGGAAUGAACUGGAGGAGCUUUGGGAAAGUGGAAGACUGAGAGGGGAAUGAGCCAAAUGCUUUGGCUAGAGGAUGUUUAGGCUGGAGAAUGUUGAGAUGAAAGUGUUGGGGGCAAUUUAUGCUGUAUGCUUUAUGAAUGAACAGAACCUGUUUGUGAAGUGGAAUCAAGGGGAAAUGGGAACACGCCAACAGUCUAAACAGAAAAAAUUGUCAUUGAAACUGGAAAACUGAAAAAGACUAGGGGGAAAAAAAAAGAAAAUUAAAGAUGGAGGUGAAAGAUGGGAGGAAAGAGAACAAGAGAAGAAGUUAGUUCUAGAAGUGUUUUGAAAGUUGACUGCAACAGAAGACUGAAAUCUAGAACUUUUCCAAAGUCCCUUUGGAGAGAGGCUGUAAUGAUCCAAACUGUUAGGUUCUAGGAGAUACCAGAGAAAAAUCCAUUAUGAAAAACUCUUUCAGAAAGUUUUCUAGGUUUCUGAAAACAACACCUGAUACUUUCCAAGUUAGGAGAGACUCUGCAAACCCUCAUCCUGUGCUGUGACAUAUCGUCAUCACCAUGUCAGUCAUUACAUGUUUUUCUCUGCCUAAUUUGUUUAAAGCCCUCUAAUAAUACUGAAUAUAUCAAGUUUGCAUUUG
rnacentral:lncRNA from 1 species